GUGUGUUGCUACCCGCAGGCAGUCUUUGGUUGCCCAGGAAACAGAUGGCGGAUGAAGGGCGCGCAUACAAAAGAGCACAAACCUGUAGCAGCAGCUGGGGAGCGGCUCCACUGACUUAUUCAUGUCGACGCAGCCCCUUACAGCCAACACGGUCCUUUGUUUCGGGACUUAUCUACAUUAUCCUGUCCUCCAAACAGGAUUGCACGCAGCUGCUCUCGGCACUCCCACUUGUGCUUGCAGCAGCAGCUCUGCAGCUAAACAAGAUAUAGGAGCGACCAUUUCCCUCCUUUACUGAAGGGAACAACACAGUGCAUGUUUGACACGUUGGAAGCUCUGGUGAUGGGAACUAAAACAAUUGUGACAACGUUGUGCGACAUGUUCAACCUUCAGAUGUCUGGAAGGUGCUGGGAUUUACUGAAUUCAUCUUCAAGGGCAGUUGACAUGACAUCGAUUCAGGCUACUCGAAUGAGCUAAACAAACUGGAAAGGUUAUGCUCCCAAGUCUAUUAUCUUAACACGCUACUAUGGACAGCAAUCGGUGUCCAAACCCCUUUAAACUUGUAAGGCAAGCAGUGAUCCUCCGCUGCCAUCUCUCCAAGUUCAAAUGGGUUGGACGUCCAUCACAGUCACUUGCAGCCUUUAAAUUAAUAAUCUCAAGAGAAAAUCUAAUUUUAUGUCUUUUAAUUUUAGCCAGUUUAAAUAAAUUGACACCAAUAAACAUAAAAAAAAAAAAAAGUAAAUCGUAUGUAGUUGCAGCAGGAUUAAAAGCAUUCAAGAUAAGUAGUUUGAGAUUUAUUUUUUUUUUCUGUAGCUUUUGUUCAGCUUUGUGUUGUGUGUCCCUGGCAGUUACACCAAUGCACUCCAGUUUGGGUCACACUUUUGACACAUUGUGCUCCUGUACUGACUACAUUGCUUGGACGGUUCUCCACGUGCUGCCUCAAUUACGGGAUAUACUGGAACUAUGGCUUCCCUUCUAACCUGUAUCUUCAAAGGAUGAUCAACUUCUCAUUCUUUUGUGUGUCAGUGGAGUAUGCAUUUUAGAAAUCAGCUUUCCACCAAUUUGCAGCAGGGCAAAUGUGUCAUAUGACAGUAUUUUGUCCUUUUUUUUUUUUUUUUUUUUUAAUCAGGCAUGUAAAUCCUAAAGUAGUUUUUAUUAACCACAUUUUGUGUAUGAAAAAGCUGCUGCAACAGCAGAACACCUAUUUUCUGCUGUAUGUGUGCACUGGCCUCCUCCCGCUUCCUUGUUUACCUCUCCUAAUGACACAAUAAGCAAACAUCUAAAUUUACCAAACACAAUUAUUGAAAACCUCAUACAGUCGUAUGAAAAAGUAUCUCAACCUUUUGAAAUUUCUCACAUUUCUGCAUAAAAUCACCAUCAAAUAUGAUCUGAUCUUUGUCCAAAUCACACAGAUGAAAAAAUAGUGUCUGCUUUAACUAAAACCACCCAAACAUUUAUAGGUUGUAAUAUUUUAAUAAGGAUAGUAUUCAAAGAACGACAGAAGGGGGAAAAAUAGUGGAACCAUCACAUUUAAUAUUUUGUGCCACCCGCCUUGGCAGCAAUAACUCCAACCAGAUGCUUCCUGUAGCUGCAGAUCAGUCUGGCGCAUCGAUCAAGACUAAUCUUGGCCCAUUCUUCUCUACAAAACUGCUGUAGUUCAGUCAGAUUCCUGGGAUGUCUGGCAUGAAUCACUGUCUUUAGGUCAUGCCACAGCAUCUCAAUGGGGUUCAAAUCUGAACUUUGACUUGGCCAGUCCAGAACGUGUAUUUUGUUCUUCUGAAACCAUUCUGAAGUUUAUUUACUUCUGUGUUUGGAAUCAUUAUCUAGUUACAGCAUCUGCCCUCUUUUUAGGUCCAACUGUCUGACAGACGGCCUCAGGUUUUCCUGAAAAACAUCCUGAUAAACUUUUGAAUUCAUUCUUCCAUUAAUGAUUGCAAGUUGUCCAGGCCCUGAGGCAGCAAAACAGCCCCUAAUCAUGAUAAUCUCUCCACCAUGCUUCACGGUGGGGAUAAGGUGUUGAUGUCAGUGAGCUGUUCCAUUUUUCCUCCACACAUGAUGUUGUAUGUUACCCCCAAACAAUUCAACGAUGGUUACACCAGUCCACAAAAUAUUUUGCCAAAACUUUUGUGGAGUGUCCAAGUGCCUUUUUGUGAACACUAAACGAGCAACAAUGUUUUUUUUUAGACAGCAGUGGCUUCCUCCGUGGAGUCCUCCCAUGAACACCAUUCUUGGCCAUAGUUUUACAUAUAGUUGAUGUGUGCCCAGAGAUAUUGGACUGUGCCAGUGAUUUCUGUGAGUCUUUAGCAGACACUCUUGUUUUUUUUUUUUGUUUUUUUUUUUCUUACCUUGCUGAGUAUUCUAUGCUGAACUCUUGGCGUCAUCUUUGAUGGACGGCCACUCCUGGAGAGAGAAGUAACAGUGCCAAACUCUUAUCUGUAGACAACUUAUUUUACUGUUGAUUGAUGAACAUCCAGACUUUUAGAGAUGGUUUUGUAUCCUUUCCCAGCUUUAUAUUAAUCAACAAUCCUUGAUCGCAGGUCUUCAGACAGCUCUUUUGACCGAGCUAUGAUGCACAUGAGACAAUGCUUCUCAUCAAGACAAUUCAUACCAGGCCAGGUCUGUGUUUCAUAGUGGGCAGGUCAGCUUUAAACCACUCAGCAGUGAUUAGGCACACGCCUGACUUGAAUUCUUUGGUUAAAAUUGGUUUCUAUUCCUCUUUAAGUCUCCUUAGGCAUAGGGCUCACGUACUUAUUUUACCCCUUCUGUCAUUGUUUGCAUGCUAUCCUCAUUAAAAUAUGAAAACCUACAAAUGUUUGGGUGGUUUUCGUUAAAGCAGACGUUGUUUUCUUCAUCUGUGUGAUUUUGACAAGGAUCAGAUCACAUUUGAUGGUGGUUUUAUGCAGAAAUGUGAGAAAUUCCAAAAGGUUCAGAUACAUUUUCAUACCACUGUAUUUUAAAGCUGGUACAGUUGGUUACAGAGGCCAAACAAAAAAUUAUUUCACUUUCAAAACUGAACACUGAUCAAGAGUGUUCUAUGAUGAUGAUGCAUACCUUUGGGUUUCUCUUUAUGUUUUACAGUAUAUACAAUACGUAUUGUAUAGUGUGCAUUUUACUGAGGUGUGAAUGCACGUUUGUAUGCAUGUGCCAUCUUUUUGUGUCUCUGCGUGUCCGUGUGCAUGUGUAUUCUAAAUCUUCUAGCUGCUAAACACACCAGACCCUGAAGAAAAUAUUGACAAAUGACUAUCUGGUAUUUUUUCAUUGUUUCUGAAAACUGUAGUAAUAGCAUGAAGCUACCCUAUAUAGAAAAUCCUUGUGAAUAAUCACAAGAAUGCCGCUGAAGGAGUAACUUGUAUCUAGUUCAUUAAAAAAAUCAGGGCUGUCAAAUUUAUCGCGUUAACGGGCGGUAAUUAAUUUUUUAAAUUAAUCACGUUAAAAUAUUUAAUGCAAUUAACGCAUGUGCGGCACGACCCACUCAUGCAUUGCCGCAAACAACCUGUAAUGGCGCCGUUUUACUAAUAUACAGAGCUAAGAGGCAGCGUCAAGUGAGUGGAGAAGAUACAAGCAGUCACUGUAGCCAUGCUUUUAAUUGACUGAAGCAUUAACAUCUCUUCCACAACAACUAAAAAUAUUGUGGGAAGCGACGUGGGGUCAAAUAACAGGAGUCGAUCUUUUUCUUAAUACCCUGUAUUGUACACAACGCAGAGAAGAUAUAUCAAUUGCUGCCAUCACACACAGUCAUGGUUGCACCACUUCCCAUCAUGCAUUUGGGCAGAACAGUUAAAUCGCUACAGUAUAAUUUACUGAAAGCUCAACAAAUAGACUAGAUGGCAAUAUUUAGUCACAAUAUACAAACUCACAUUUAUCCUCUAAGAAUUACAAGCCUUUCUAUCCGUGGAUCCCUCUCACAGAAAGAAUGUUAAUAAUGUUAAUGCCAUCUUGUGGAUUUAUUGUUAUGGUAAACAAAUACAGUACUUAUGUACUGUAUGUUGAAUGUACAGUGCCUUGCAAAAGUAUUCGGCCCCCUUGAACCUUGCCACCUUUCGCCACAUUUCAGGCUUC